CGGCACACGAUGAGACCCUUUUUGAUUGUUCCGUGGUCAUUAAGGGGGGACAGUGUGUGCAAGAGUAACCGUGGAGAUGCUCACCAGAUGCGACCAGUCUUGAUUAGUGGAUGGUUGAACUGUAGCGCUCUGUCAUUU